CAUAUCCAAAUAUGAUAGCUGGGUUUAAAGUUGGGUUAUUAAUUAAUCGUACAUCUCCUCCACCAGGAGCCCAUGUGUCAUAUACUCCACCGAAAAAUAAAGCUUUAAUCACAAGUAAAAACGACCCUAUGCCUAGUAAUACAAGAUGUAUACCAAGAAUUGUUGUCAUUUUAUUUUUAUCUCUCCA
rnacentral:antisense_RNA from 15 species